rnacentral:lncRNA from 1 species
ACUCAAGGUAGACAGUGUGGCGACUGGAGAGGUCGGGGAACAAGCUUUGUUUCAGCUAAGGGGAAAACAAGCGUUCACAGGAGUCCCCUGACACCUCCCACUCGGAAGAUAGCUAACGGGGGUCCUGCCAACCCUUCCCAUCCAACUUCCAUCUGAAAAGGAUUUUCUGCUAAAGUUGGGUCCAUGGCCAUCCAGCACCUGUAAGGCCGGCAGGAGCGUCUGCCCUCUACUCAGUUAAAGCCUGAAGUCGUUUCCUUUCGAUGGCCCUUAGGAGGCCCAAAAGAGGGGCGACAGAACAUGAUGUUGACACGGGCUGGGCGCCCCCAGAAGCCCGGGAACAAACGUUUCUACUUUCCAGGUCCACUGGUGUUUGGUGUACCCAUGUGACUAAUUUGUCCAAAGAGAGGUGAGUGAAAGUGAUGUGUCACUUCCAGAUGGAAGCUUUUUGGGCAAGUAUGUAUUUUCUAGCUCUUUUCUUCUGUGUUAUAGAAACUAGGAAUAUUCCAGUUGGUGACUGACCCCUUAGUUGGGUUCCUAGAGUGAGUUUGAUGUGGAGGAGCCCAAAAUGACCUGCAGUGAAGUUGGAGUGUGAGCAAGAAAUAAACUUUUGUUUUUUAAUUUUCUGAGGUUUUGGAAGUUGUAGAUUAUAACUGCAUAACCUAUCAAUAUUGAUAUGUUUCAAUUCUUAAUGAAAAUUUCUAAUAUUCUUUUUGAUUAUUUCUAACUUAUUAACUUAAAAUGUCAAAUAUCUAUAAUUUCAGUAUAUUCUGUAUCCUACAUUUAAAAAUAAAAAAUAGAAUGUUGAAAAUGAAAUCAUUUCAAUGAGAUGACAACUCAAAAUCUUAUAGUAUCAUCCAGAAACAUGUAGAACAGAUUUAAAAAUACACAGUACUGAGAUUGGCAGGUUGAGAAGAAGACACAUAUGAAGGGUAACUUCUUUGGAAAGAAGCAGCUAUGCACAGUACUUAAGAAUGAAAUUUCCAUGUCCCGUUAAUACAUCUGAAACAGUUUUACUUUCUAUCCCAAACUUUAAUGAUCCUAGAAAGCUGGUUUGAAUCAGUUUUUACAGGGUUGUUUUGGAUUUAAAAUAACUAAAACUUGAGAGCUGGGAGAAAUUUUAUUUAACACUUUUUUAUCAUUCAUGGUUUAAUGUUUAAUGAAUAAAUUCUUCACUAAGCUUAUGUGGUGAGGGUCUGGUGGUGAAAAGUACUUUUUCAACUAGAUAUAUUAGAAUGACAACAGCAAAGCAAGAAUGUGGUAGGGUCACAUAAAGGAGUCGUGAUCUGUGGGAAAUUAUUUUUUAUGAUUCUCCAAGAUGGCUGUACAUAUAAGCAUAAAAGUCAAUAAACAAGUGCCUAACCUUUAGCUCUAAAUUAACUUUUGAGCGCUUUGAAUGCCUGGCACAAAAAUAUUUAGGGGUUUGGCGCCAUCUGGUGGCCAAAUAUCAACUUUUCAGCUUCUCUUUUAUGACUAAGAAGUGAAUUACUCUGCACUUUCCAAUAAACACUAUUAAUAAAUAAAAUUAUUUAAAAUGUUGAUUUCCAGAACUUGAGAAGACAAAUCAAAGACAGAUUUCUGUUAUGUUACCUAUUGUUAUAUGACAGAAUUUCAGUCUUGAGUAGGUUCUUUUAUACUUGCAUUUGAUUUAUUUAUGAAAGCAUUAUAGACAUAAAUCUGCUAUCUUUUUCUUAAUACAAGAGAAGACUCUUUCCCCAAAAGAAAUUAGACGUGCUCAAUAAAAUCUAAAUUUAUUUUUUCACAAUUCUGUAAAAGAUUGAGCUAGGGGUGCGUGUGUGUGUGUGAAUAUCAGAAUUUAUUUUAAAAAUGCAAGAGGGAGAGGGGAAGGAGCUGGUAGUGACAUUGUUAAUUGUCUGCUUUGCAAUAGCAAAGACUUGGAACCAACCCAAAUGUCCAUCAAUGAUAGACUGGAUUAAGAAAAUAUGGCACAUAUACACCAUGGAAUACUAUACAGCCAUAAAAAAGGAUGAGUUCAUGUCUUUUGUAGGGACAUGGAUGAAGCCGGAAACCAUCAUUCUGAGAAAACUAUCGCAAGGACAGAAAACCAAACACUACAUGCUCUCACUCAUAGGUGGGAAUUGAACAAUGAGAACACUUGGACACAGGGUGGGGAACAUCACACACCGGGGCCUGUCGUGGGGUGGGGGAAGGUGGGAGGGAUAGCAUUAGGAGAUACACCUAAUGUAAAUGAUGAGUUAAUGGGUGCAGCACACCAACAUGUGCUGUUGUACACGUGUACACAUGUAUACAUAUGUAACAA